rnacentral:lncRNA from 1 species
AUUCCCAUUAGAAACAUCGCGUGCUGCGGGUGGCGCGUGUCGAUACGCUUCAAAGUCGUGCAUACAGCACACCCUGAUCCGCGACACUCUUCAGCUCGUGCCCGCUGCUGACGAGUGUAAUAAGGAUCCACGACCUUUUCCCAGAGCAGCGGGAUUUGCGCUUUUUUUCACGCACCUGGCGUCGUGGGGGCCGUGGGUUAUCAGGGACUAGUCACACCCCUCGUUUUGGGGAGGAAACCGACAUGUGGACGAGAACGAGGACUUGUUACGUAGCCGCGGGGACAGGGCUUCGUUGGCCAGAAGGCCCCCCUCUCUUUCCAUCUACCCUUACGUGUACCGAAGGGCCUGGGUAUAUAAGGGCCCGCUCGGCUUCCAGUGGCACAGGACAUCACGGUCGACAGUGAGAAGAAGAGGCUUCCAGGCUUCUUCGACCGAUCGACCGUACUGGUCACGGUCGAGGAAGACCCGAAGAGGAGGCUGGAGGACGAAGAGGAAGUGAGCAGCCGCAGUCACCUAACGGCGAACGUCAUUAUUUUCUGUUGCAGAAAAUCCGGCCGGAGCUACGUCAACAAUUUCACGAUGGUCUCACUACUUGGACGGUCCAGGGCAACGAGGCAACAGCAAUCAAGAUCAAAGAAGAAAGGCAUCAGUUAGUCGAUAGGAUGGCACAGGAGGUUGAAAA